rnacentral:rRNA from 1 species
AUUGAACGCUGGCGGCAUGCCUUACACAUGCAAGUCGAACGGUAACAGGUCUUCGGAUGCUGACGAGCGGCGAACGGGUGAGUAAUACAUCGGAACGUACCUAGUAGUGGGGGAUAACUACUCGAAAGAGUGGCUAAUACCGCAUGAGAUCUACGGAUGAAAGCAGGGGAUCGCAAGACCUUGUGCUACUAGAGCGGUCGAUGGCCGAUUAGGGAGUUGGUGGGAUAAAAGCUUACCAAGGCGACGAUCUGUAGCUGGUCUGAGAGGACGAUCAGCGCAACUGGGAGUGAGAAACGGCCCAGACUCCUACGGGAGGCAGCAGUAGGGAAUUUUGGACAGUGGGCGCAAGCCUGAUCCAGCAAUGCCGCGUGCAGGAUGAAGGCCUGCGGGUUGUAAGCUGCUUUUGUACGGCACGAAAAGCCCCGGGUUAAUACCCUGGGGUCAUGACGGUACCGUAAGAAUAAGCACCGGCUAACCACGUGCCAGCCGCCGCCGUAA